UUUAUUACCAAGUGUUAAUAAAUAUUAAAAUGCAUAUAUAUAAUUGCAAAGUAUGUAGAAGAAGCUUACAAUCAAACAAUUUUCAAUCCUUAGAAAUAUAUAAAACUUAAAAAGUAAAAAAAUUAUUGCAUACAUAGCUUUAAUCUACAUGUUUGCAAUAUCUGUUUGUUAAAUUGCCUUCUCUCAGUCACUAGUAUUGUCAUAUCCUUUUCCAAUACUCUUAUGGCAGGAUUCCUUAAGUUAAUUUUCUAAACCGUUUUAGUUUUUUUUUGAGCACUUAAUUGUCUUUAAACAUUUAGAUAGGAUAAAUUUACAUACAGUCUUUAUGGUUGUGAAAUUAUCAAUAAACAUGGUUCUUGUCGUCAGAAGAGAUAUAAGGACUUGCUUGUAUCAAUAGUAAAAUUUCCAAAAACCUUGACAAAUUAAAAGGCAUUCACCUUAUGGCACAAAUGUAAAACAAGAGAUGUAUACUACAUGAAGACGUUCAAGGCAAUCUACUACAUGUAUGAAAAGAAGAAAUACACAUAUGUAUUGUCUAAUUUGCUAACCUUGACCUAGACAAUGAUAUGAUUAGUUACAAAAAAAUAUUACUAGAGGUAAUAUUGUAAACCAAUGUAGAAGUCUCAUAAAUCUAUUAGGGAGAUACAAAUCAGGGUAAAAAAUCAAUCUGAGGGAACUGCAUGACCUCAAUAAAGAGUUAGCAUGGUAAAUAUAACUGUGAAGGCUUUAUAUAUGACUACAAAUCGACCUUAGUAUGAAAUUGGCAGUUUUCGUACUUGACUGUACUGAUUAAUACUUAUUGAAAUUUUAUAUAUUCAGAACUCUUAACUCUUAGAUUGUAAUCAUAUGUCUAUCAGAACAUAAAGCAUUAUCAUGUAAAACAAUAUGGGAAGAACUUGAAGACUGUCAUAUCAACAAAAAUCAUUCAGACACUAUUCUUAAAACCCAUUUUGAAGAAAAAAAAACAUUUAUUUAAAAUCAACAAGUGUCAAUGAUAUAUUGUAAAUAAAGUAAGAUUUAAAUAAGAAUAUAAAAAUA
rnacentral:lncRNA from 1 species